AUUGAACGCUGGCGGCAGGCCUAACACAUGCAAGUCGAGCGGAUGAAGGGAGCUUGCGCCUGGAUUCAGCGGCGGACGGGUGAGUAAUGCCUAGGAAUCUGCCUGGUAGUGGGGGAUAACGUCCGGAAACGGGCGCUAAUAUCGCAUACGUCCUGAGGGAGAAAGUGGGGGAUCUUCGGACCUCACGCUAUCAGAUGAGCCUAGGUCGUAUUAGCUAGUUGGUGGGGUAAAGGCCUACCAAGGCGACGAUCCGUAACUGGUCUGAGAGGAUGAUCAGUCACACUGGAACUGAGACACGGUCCAGACUCCUACGGGAGGCAGCAGUGGGGAAUAUUGGACAAUGGGCGAAAGCCUGAUCCAGCCAUGCCGCGUGUGUGAAGAAGGUCUUCGGAUUGUAAAGCUCUUUAAGUUGGGAGGAAGGGCAGUAAGUUAAUCCCUUGCUGUUUUGACGUUACCAACAGAAUAAGCACCGGCUAACUUCGUG
rnacentral:rRNA from 1 species